GCAACAGGCUGGUUGUCAGGUAGUCAGCAGUAUUAGUGGUCUGGUCUGCAGCAGGCUGGUUGUCAGGUAGUCAGCAGUAUGAGUGGUCUGGUCUGCAGCAGGCUGGUUGUCAGGUAGUCAGCAGUAUGAGUGGUCUGGUCUGCAACAGGCUGGUUGUCAGGUAGUCAGCAGUAUGAGUGGUCUGGUCUGCAGCAGGCUGGUUGUCAGGUAGUCAGCAGUAUUAGUGGUCUGGUCUGCAACAGGCUGGUUGUCAGGUAGUCAGCAGUAUUAGUGGUCUGGUCUGCAACAGGCUGGUUGUCAGGUAGUCAGCAGUAUGAGUGGUCUGGUCUGCAACAGGCUGGUUGUCAGGUAGUCAGCAGUAUGAGUGGUCUGGUCUGCAACAGGCUGGUUGUCAGGUAGUCAGCAGUAUUAGUGGUCUGGUCUGCAACAGGCUGGUUGUCAGGUAGUCAGCAGUAUGAGUGGUCUGGUCUGCAACAGGCUGGUUGUCAGGUAGUCAGCAGUAUGAGUGGUCUGGUCUGCAACAGGCUGGUUGUCAGGUAGUCAGCAGUAUGAGUGGUCUGGUCUGCAACAGGCUGGUUGUCAGGUAGUCAGCAGUAUGAGUGGUCUGGUCUGCAACAGGCUGGUUGUCAGGUAGUCAGCAGUAUGAGUGGUCUGGUCUGCAACAGGCUGGUUGUCAGGUAGUCAGCAGUAUGAGUGGUCUGGUCUGCAACAGGCUGGUUGUCAGGUAGUCAGCAGUAUGAGUGGUCUGGUCUGCAACAGGCUGGUUGUCAGGUAGUCAGCAGUAUGAGUGGUCUGGUCUGCAACAGGCUGGUUGUCAGGUAGUCAGCAGUAUGAGUGGUCUGGUCUGCAACAGGCUGGUUGUCAGGUAGUCAGCAGUAUGAGUGGUCUGGUCUGCAAAAUCAAAUCAAAUCAAAUUUAUUUAUAUAGCCCUUCGUACAUCAGCUGAUAUCUCAAAGUGCUGUACAAAAACCCAGCCUAAAACCCCAAACAGCAAACAAUGCAGGUGU